AACGAACGCUGGCGGCAUGCCUAACACAUGCAAGUCGAACGAGAUCUUCGGGUCUAGUGGCGCACGGGUGCGUAACGCGUGGGAAUCUGCCCUUUGGUUCGGAAUAACAGUUGGAAACGACUGCUAAUACCGGAUGAUGACGAAAGUCCAAAGAUUUAUCGCCAGAGGAUGAGCCCGCGUAGGAUUAGCUAGUUGGUGUGGCAAAGGCGCACCAAGGCGACGAUCCUUAGCUGGUCUGAGAGGAUGAUCAGCCACACUGGGACUGAGACACGGCCCAGACUCCUACGGGAGGCAGCAGUGGGGAAUAUUGGACAAUGGGCGAAAGCCUGAUCCAGCAAUGCCGCGUGAGUGAUGAAGGCCUUAGGGUUGUAAAGCUCUUUUACCCGGGAUGAUAAUGACAGUACCGGGAGAAUAAGCUCCGGCUAACUCCAUGCCAGCCGCCGCAGUAA
rnacentral:rRNA from 1 species